UACGAAGGGGGCUAGCGUUGCUCGGAAUGACUGGGCGUAAAGGGCGCGUAGGCGGCGCAGUUAGUCAGGCGUGAAAGCCCCGGGCUCAACCUGGGGACGGCGCUUGAGACGGCUGGGCUUGAGGAUGGCAGAGGCUCGCGGAAUUCCCAGUGUAGAGGUGAAAUUCGUAGAUAUUGGGAAGAACACCGGUGGCGAGGCGGCGA
rnacentral:rRNA from 1 species